rnacentral:rRNA from 1 species
UGGGGAAUAUUGCACAAUGGGCGCAAGCCUGAUGCAGCCAUGCCGCGUGUGUGAAGAAGGCCUUCGGGUUGUAAAGCACUUUCAGCGAGGAGGAAGGUGGUGAGCUUAAUACGCUCAUCAAUUGACGUUACUCGCAGAAGAAGCACCGGCUAACUCCGUGCCAGCAGCCGCGGUAAUACGGAGGGUGCAAGCGUUAAUCGGAAUUACUGGGCGUAAAGCGCACGCAGGCGGUUUGUUAAGUCAGAUGUGAAAUCCCCGGGCUCAACCUGGGAACUGCAUUUGAAACUGGCAAGCUAGAGUCUCGUAGAGGGGGGUAGAAUUCCAGGUGUAGCGGUGAAAUGCGUAGAGAUCUGGAGGAAUACCGGUGGCGAAGGCGGCCCCCUGGACGAAGACUGACGCUCAGGUGCGAAAGGCGUGGGGCAGCAAACAGGAUUAGAUACCCUGGUAGUCCACGCUGUAAAACGAUGUCGAUUUUGGAGGUUGUGCCCCUUGAGGCGUGGCUUCCGGAGCUAACGCGUUAAAUCGACCGCCUGGGGAGUACGG